GCGGCGUUAGCUCAGCGGAGAGAGCACCCGACUACGAAUCGGGAGGUCCGAGGUUCGAAUCCUCGACGCCGCA
rnacentral:tRNA from 1 species